rnacentral:rRNA from 1 species
AGAGUUUGAUCCUGGCUCAGAUUGAACGCUGGCGGCAGGCCUAACACAUGCAAGUCGAGCGGUAGAGAGAAGCUUGCUUCUCUUGAGAGCGGCGGACGGGUGAGUAAUGCCUAGGAAUCUGCCUAGUGGUGGGGGAUAACGUUCGGAAACGGACGCUAAUACCGCAUACGUCCUACGGGAGAAAGCGGGGGAUCUUCGGACCUCGCGCCAUUAGAUGAGCCUAGGUCGGAUUAGCUAGUUGGUGAGGUAAUGGCUCACCAAGGCGACGAUCCGUAACUGGUCUGAGAGGAUGAUCAGUCACACUGGAACUGAGACACGGUCCAGACUCCUACGGGAGGCAGCAGUGGGGAAUAUUGGACAAUGGGCGAAAGCCUGAUCCAGCCAUGCCGCGUGUGUGAAGAAGGUCUUCGGAUUGUAAAGCACUUUAAGUUGGGAGGAAGGGCAGUAACCUAAUACGUUAUUGUUUUGACGUUACCGACAGAAUAAGCACCGGCUAACUUCGUGCCAGCAGCCGCGGUAAUACGAAGGGUGCAAGCGUUAAUCGGAAUUACUGGGCGUAAAGCGCGCGUAGGUGGUUCAGUAAGUUGGAAGUGAAAUCCCCGGGCUCAACCUGGGAACUGCUUUCAAAACUGCUGAGCUAGAGUACGGUAGAGGGUGGUGGAAUUUCCUGUGUAGCGGUGAAAUGCGUAGAUAUAGGAAGGAACACCAGUGGCGAAAGCGACCACCUGGACUGAUACUGACACUGAGGUGCGAAAGCGUGGGGAGCAAACAGGAUUAGAUACCCUGGUAGUCCACGCCGUAACGAUGUCAACUAGCCGUUGGGAGUCUUGAACUCUUA